rnacentral:lncRNA from 1 species
UUUUAUGGCUGAUUAGUCACUAAUAUUGACCCAAACUUCCCAUUGAAAGUUUUAAUAAUACUAUUGACCCAAAAAAAUUUACAACUUGACUUUUUUCUUUUUUUGUCGAAUUCACAGCUUGACUAAAUUCCACAACAAUAAGAUAGUUAAUAAAACAGUACAAAUGGACCUUAAUCAGUUCUCUGAGAGGGCCAAUUAAAAAAACCUAACUCUAUUGCUUAAUGUUGACUAGAUCCUAAGAUAUCAUCAUGUCCUGAACUGUAAUACCCGGCUAGAGUCCGGCACCGGAAUUCCUGUUGUUUGAUGGUAUUCAAUGUACAGUGUACAGGAAGGGACAGACCAGCAGAGUACAGAAAAAGUAAAGAGAUCUGUAAUAGCUUAGAGUGGACAUGUAAUAUUAAAGAGAUGUAAUAGUUGUUGCUUGACCUAGUGAUGUAUGUUGUGUUGUACAUGAUCUGUAUAUGUAUAUAUGUUUUCUUGUAUGUGAAAACCAGGCUUGACAGGUAUGAAUGAACCCAUCUAGAGCAAGCUCUAGUCAGGGAUACAGAGUACAGAGUACUUGAGUACAGAGUACAGAGAUAGUGCAUGCACAGGUUAAGCCUUGGUUCAGAAAAGAGUUUUAUUUUCACUAAAAAUGUAUGAUCAUGUAUGAGGUUUACAGGUACACAGAGAGUAUAGCAGGCUUGCUACGGGUUCUGGCGGCCUUAAGCCGACCUGAAUCCUAGCGCCGGUGACGGUCCUUUUUUUUGGGGUCGUUACAUGAACCAACCAAUCAAAUCCCUCAAGCAGCCCCNNNNN